UAAUAAUGUGAAACUCUUCGGAUUAAAGUCCAAAUUAUUGUCUGUUGAUCGUAUUUUCAUACAGUAUGUAUUAACUCAAAAAGCUUUUGGGAUAGUUUUGACUUAUUCCAGCAGUAUAAGUAAUAUUUUUUUCAAGUUUGAACCAUGCCGAACAUCUUUCCCAAUUUUUUUUAUUUUAAAGGUUAAAGAGACUUUUAGCGUGCGGACUGACAGGAAUUCCCAGGCUCCAGUGUAAUUUGAUGUAAGGGUCUCAGGAGGAGGAGGAGAGGCCGUCUGUCCAACCAGCAGGUGCUGGGCUCGUUUGUCAUGCAUGACCAAAUUUAGACAGGCCGCUAAUCCAGCCCACAGACCCCCGUACCCAUCCCUCGCCAAAAGAUGAGGCGGUGUUUGAGGACGGAGGCUGAGGAGCUAAAGGAGCAACAAGGAGGCGUAAGAAGAGGCGGAGGUGGCAGAGGCUAAAUUGGGUUGGCAUGGGACACCACUGGACAGCUGAGAAGGCAGGAUUCCUGAGGUCCAUCUUGUAAAAUGAGGUCAUGGUGGCUCGGCUGAAUGCCUCACAUAACUACAGCGUCCCCCGCCGCCGCCCAAAGAAAGAUCAGGGCUACUGACCCUCAAUACAGCUGACACGAACACCCAACCUCCUCUUUCACAUCAGAACAGGCGUCAGGCUCCUGAUGAUGUCGCUCGCUCGCCUGCCUAUCAAAGGGAUGACGCAGCCGCCGAGCUGCUGGAAGACGUCAUGGCUGUAGUCUCAGGAAGAUGUAGGAGUUUUACGAGUUUCAGACGUCAGAGGGUGACAGUGCAAUGUUUAAAAAUCUCUCCUACAAAUAAAGCUGAGCUAGCUUAAAUUAA